rnacentral:tRNA from 1 species
AGGGGUAUAGCUCAGUUGGUAGAGCAUCGGUCUCCAAAACCGAGUGUCGAGAGUUCGAGUCUUUCUGCCCCUGCCA